rnacentral:lncRNA from 1 species
GCCCAGGUGACGGUGAUGCCAGGAGUGACGCCUUAAAGGCGCAGUAACUUCUCAAACAGGAGGCUGGACAGGAGUCUCCGGAUUCUCGGUGGCCUCAGCUUGCACAGCGCCAAGAGGCGGGUUGGGGUCCAGGCUCGGAAACCAGCGCAGAGCAAUGACGCUUGAACAGUUUUGCCCUCCUGGGUGCGAUCCAGGGGUGCGAGUCGAGCCUCGUGGCCCCGUCAGGCACUUUGUCCCAGCCUGGACUUCAGCACCGGGGGUCCCGGACAGCUCCGAGCCCUGGACAGAGGGACCCGUGCGGUGCGGGCCGGGUGGAUGGGAGUGGAGGGAGCUUUCCAGUCUGGCUUCCUUUAGAAGCCAGUCCACAGGGGGGCAGGCCUGGUCUUUCUAGGCCCGAUGGUCCCCCUUCAUCACAGUGUCACAGGAGUUCAGCCGCCAGUCCGCGAACCCACCCGACUUCUCCGAGUAGGUGCUUCUCAGGCCAUCAGUGCUCGCAGCCCUGGCCUCCACGUUGGGGCACGCGGCCCCCGGACCCCUCCUCCUCGGUCAGCUCCAUCUCUUCACCCUCAUUACGGGCGGUCCUGCCCAGCUCACCUGGACAGCCGGCUCCACUGUCCUGCUCUCCACCCGCAGCGGAACCCAUCAGAGGCCUCAGGUCUGCGAGGCGAGGUGGUGCGUGGCUGGCCAGGCCUGCGAGUUGAAGCCUCCCGUCCCCCUUGAUUCACUGGCCACUGUAGGGGCUUCUGCUGACCGUGCCUGUGCCUGCCUGUUCCCGACUCGGUUCUGUCCCAGGAACUGGUGGGCCCAUCCUUUGGUCCCUGCCACACUGUCUAGAUUGAGAGCUGACGGAAGCCAGACAGGAAACCUACUGGGCAGGCCACAGCCGCUGGGCCACUCUCCCACUGGGCCCUGAAAGCUGCCGGUGUGGAGAGCAAGUGAACGGCCACGCUGCGUCCCAGUGACACUGUGCUCACAGAGACAGGCAGGGGCCAUGUUUGCAGGCCCCCCACUGACCCUGCCCUGGCAUGCACAGGGGCCAGGUUCUUGGUCUGCGUUACUGGUGGUCAGUGUGGAAUAAGGGAGGGUGACUCUUCCCAUUUUGUUCUUUUUUCCUGGUUCUGGGUGGAACCCAGGCCCAACACAUGCUGAGCAAGUGCUCUACCGCGGAGCUGAGCCUUUAAUCAGAAUUGCACUGAAUUUAUGGGUCAGUUUGGGGAGAAGUUGACAGCUCAGCAGUGUUGAUUCCCUCAACCUUGAACCCUGCAUCAGCCAGCUUUCUGUUACUGUAACAAGUACCUGAAAAAAAGCAGCUAAUAAAGAGAAAAGGUUUAUUUUCAUUGUGGUCUUGGAUAUUUCCAUCCCGUGGUCAGCCGGCCUGUGGCUUUGGCCUGUGGGGAGGCCGUGCAUCCUGGAGGAGCACUCGGGGAGCAGACCAGGACCCAAAAGAGAGGAAGAGACAGGGUCCCCGAUCCCCUAAGGGCCUUGCCUCCUGGAGGCUCCAUCCCUCCCCAAACCGCCACCUGGGGCCAGUUCACAGGCCUUUGGGGACACUCAAGAUCCAAACCCUGGCGCCUGCUGGUCUCGACUCCCUCAGUUCCGUUCCUCAGCCGUUUUCCCGCCUCCCAGGUGUGGGCUCGGGUGGACGCCGCCCGCUC